rnacentral:rRNA from 1 species
GACGAACGCUGGCGGCGUGCUUAACACAUGCAAGUCGAACGGUGAAGCAGGAGCUUGCUCUUGUGGAUCAGUGGCGAACGGGUGAGUAACACGUAAGCAACCUGCCCCUGACGCUGGGAUAAGCGCUGGAAACGGCGUCUAAUACUGGAUAUGUGAUGUGACCGCAUGGUCUGCAUCUGGAAAGAAUUUCGGUUGGGGAUGGGCUCGCGGCCUCUCAGCUUGUUGGUGAGGUAAUGGCUCACCAAGGCGUCGACGGGUAGCCGGCCUGAGAGGGUGACCGGCCACACUGGGACUGAGACACGGCCCAGACUCCUACAGGAGGCAGCAGUGGGAAUAUUGCACAAUGGGCGGAAGCCUGAUGCAGCAACGCCGCGUGAGGGAUGACGGCCUUCGGGUUGUAAACCUCUUUUAGCAGGGAAGAAGCGAAAGUGACGGUACCUGCAGAAAAAGCACCGGCUAACUACGUGCCAGCCGCCGCGGUAA